GAGCCUGCGGCAGCUACACAUGCAGUCGAGCGGUAGAGAGGAGCUUGCUUCUCUUGAGAGCGGCGGACGGGUGAGUAAUGCCUAGGAAUCUGCCUGGUGGUGGGGGAUAACGUUCGGAAACGGACGCUAAUACCGCAUACGUCCUACGGGAGAAAGCGGGGGACCUUCGGGCCUCGCGCCAUCAGAUGAGCCUAGGUCGGAUUAGCUAGUUGGUGAGGUAACGGCUCACCAAGGCGACGAUCCGUAACUGGUCUGAGAGGAUGAUCAGUCACACUGGAACUGAGACACGGUCCAGACUCCUACGGGAGGCAGCAGUGGGGAAUAUUGGACAAUGGGCGAAAGCCUGAUCCAGCCAUGCCGCGUGUGUGAAGAAGGUCUUCGGAUUGUAAAGCACUUUAAGUUGGGAGGAAGGGCAGUAACUUAAUACGUUGCUGUUUUGACGUUACCGACAGAAUAAGCACCGGCUAACUCUGUGCCAGCAGCCGCGGUAAUACAGAGGGUGCAAGCGUUAAUCGGAAUUACUGGGCGUAAAGCGCGCGUAGGUGGUUGGUUAAGUUGGAUGUGAAAGCCCCGGGCUCAACCUGGGAACUGCAUCCAAAACUGGCCAGCUAAAGUACGGUAGAGGGUGGUGGAAUUUCCUGUGUAGCGGUGAUAUGCGUAGAUAUAGGAAGGAACACCAGUGGCGAAGGCGACCACCUGGACUGAUACUGACGCUGAGGUGCGAAAGCGUGGGGAGCAAACAGGAUUAGAUACCCUGGUAGUCCACGCCGUAAACGAUGUCAACUAGCCGUUGGGUUCCUUGAGAACUUAGUGGCGCAGCUAACGCAUUAAGUUGACCGCCUGGGGAGUACGGGCCGCAAGGUUAAAACUCAAAUGAAUUUGACGGGGGCCCGCACAAGCGGUGGAGCAUGUGGUUUAUUCGAAGCAACGCGAAGAACUUACCUGGCUUGACAUGCUGAGACUUUCAGAGAUGGAUGUGCCUUCGGGAGCUCAGACACAGGUGCUGCAUGGCUGUCGUCAGCUCGUGU
rnacentral:rRNA from 1 species